GUUAUCUUUUUUAUUUCUUCAUCAUGUUUCACCGAAAAUGGCAGCAAAGAAUGGGGGUUUUGAGCUUUAAACUUUCAGCCACUUUAAGCCCUAACAAAUCCAAGGAAAAUCAAGAUUCGGGCUAAAAUCGAGAAAAUACCAAGUUGUGGACAAAAUAGUAAAUUUGUCGUUUUCGUAUUCGAGUGUUGUCAGUUCGGCUCGAGAUUGGAGAUCAUCGGAGACAGCGUCACAUUAUCAAGUCAACACCUUUGAAGCAUUGAUACAUAUGUUAGGAAUAUCAAGUGAGUGGCAUGUAUAGGGACUUAGUUCAUGUUAUGUGUCAUUAUAAUUUGGUCAAAUGUAAUGGACUAUGUUGAGCUAUUAUAUAUGGCUCAUAUUAAUUAUAGCUUGUAAACCUAUUUAUUCAUAAUAUGUCUAAUGUUUAAGAUGUGAUUAUGUGGGUUUGCCAUGCAUGGUUAGUAGUAUAACAUGUGUGUUGGAUGUAUGCUCUUCGACCAUCAGAGGUGGUCAUAGCCAUGAGAGAUGGCUUACAUUGACUUUAUUAUCAUUCUUAUGUAUUAUAAUGUCUUGGUUGUGGUUUACAGCCAUGAGAGUUUGCUAAA